AUUGAACGCUGGCGGCAGGCUUAACACAUGCAAGUCGAGCGGAGAUGAGGUGCUUGCACCUUAUCUUAGCGGCGGACGGGUGAGUAAUGCUUAGGAAUCUGCCUAUUAGUGGGGGACAACAUUCCGAAAGGAAUGCUAAUACCGCAUACGCCCUACGAGGGAAAGCAGGGGAUCUUCGGACCUUGCGCUAAUAGAUGAGCCUAAGUCGGAUUAGCUAGUUGGUGGGGUAAAGGCCUACCAAGGCGACGAUCUGUAGCGGGUCUGAGAGGAUGAUCCGCCACACUGGGACUGAGACACGGCCCAGACUCCUACGGGAGGCAGCAGUGGGGAAUAUUGGACAAUGGGCGAAAGCCUGAUCCAGCCAUGCCGCGUGUGUGAAGAAGGCCUUUUGGUUGUAAAGCACUUUAAGCGAGGAGGAGGCUACCUGGAUUAAUACUCUAGGAUAGUGGGCGUUACUCGCAGAAUAAGCACCGGCUAACUCUGUGCCAGCAGCCGCGGUAACAC
rnacentral:rRNA from 1 species